rnacentral:rRNA from 1 species
AUUGAACGCUGGCGGCAUGCCUUACACAUGCAAGUCGAACGGCAGCACGGGUGCUUGCACCUGGUGGCGAGUAGCGAACGGGUGAGUAAUACAUCGGAACGUACCUUAUCGUGGGGGAUAACGCAGCGAAAGCUGUGCUAAUACCGCAUACGCCCUGAGGGGGAAAGCGGGGGAUCGCAAGCCCUCGCGCGAUUAGAGCGGCCGAUGCCUGAUUAGCUUGUUGGUGGGGUAAAAGCCCACCAAGGCGACGAUCAGUAGCUGGUCUGAGAGGACGAUCAGCCACACCGGGACUGAGACACGGCCCAGACUCCUACGGGAGGCAGCAGUGGGGAAUUUUGGACAAUGGGGUCAACCCUGAUCCAGCAAUGCCGCGUGAGUGAAGAAGGCCUUCGGGUUGUAAAGCUCUUUUGUCAGGGAAGAAACACCGGCUCUAACACAGUCCGGGAAUGACGGUACCUGAAGAAUAAGCACCGGCUAACUACGUGCCAGCCGCCGCAGUAA